rnacentral:miRNA from 1 species
CCCAGUUAAAUUCAAAUUUCAGAUAAACAAUGAGUAAUUUUUUUAGUCUAAGUAUGUCUUAUGCAACAUUUGGGACAUACUUACACCAGACAUUUAUCUGUUGUUUAUCUGAAAUUCUAAUUUAACAGGA